rnacentral:rRNA from 1 species
GACGAACGCUGGCGGCGUGCUUAACACAUGCAAGUCGAACGAAAAUACCAAGCUUGCUUGGUUGAUUAGUGGCGAACGGGUGAGUAACACGUGAGUAACCUGCCCCUUACUUUCCUGGAUAACUGCUCGAAAGGGUAGCUAAUACGGGAUAUUCUGACCAGUCUGCAUGGGUUGGUUUGGAAAGGUUGUUUUUCUGGUAAGGGAUGGGCUCGCGGCCUAUCAGCUUGUUGGUGGGGUGAUGGCCUACCAAGGCUUUGACGGGUAGCCGGCCUGAGAGGGUGGACGGUCACACUGGGACUGAGAUACGGCCCAGACUCCUACGGGAGGCAGCAGUGGGGAAUAUUGCACAAUGGGCGCAAGCCUGAUGCAGCGACGCCGCGUGAGGGAUGAAGGCCUUCGGGUUGUAAACCUCUUUCGUCAGGGAACAAGGCACUGCUUUGGUGGUGUUGAGGGUACCUGGAUAAGAAGCGCCGGCUAACUACGUGCCAGCAGCCGCGGUAAUACGUAGGGCGCAAGCGUUGUCCGGAAUUAUUGGGCGUAAAGAGCUCGUAGGCGGCUGGUCGCGUCUGUCGUGAAAACUUCCGGCUCAACCGGGGGCUUGCGGUGGGUACGGGCCGGCUAGAGUGCGGUAGGGGUAACUGGAACUCCUGGUGUAGCGGUGGAAUGCGCAGAUAUCAGGAAGAACACCGAUGGCGAAGGCAGGUUACUGGGCCGUUACUGACGCUGAGGCUCGAAAGCGUGGGGAGCAAACAGG